ACGGGAGGCAGCAAGUGGGGAAUUUUGACAAUGGGCGCAAGCCUGAUCCAGCCAUUCCGCGUGAGUGAAGAAGGCCUUCGGGUUGUAAAGCUCUUUCGGCAGGGAAGAAACAGUUGAGGCUAAUACCCUUGACCAAUGACGGUACCUGCAUAAGAAGCACCGGCUAACUACGUGCCAGCAGCCGCGGUAAUACGUAGGGUGCGAGCGUUAAUCGGAAUUACUGGGCGUAAAGCGUGCGCAGGCGGUUUUUCAAGUCUGAUGUGAAAGCCCCGGGCUUAACCUGGGAACUGCGUUGGAAACUGAAAGACUAGAGUACGGCAGAGGGGGGUAGAAUUCCACGUGUAGCAGUGAAAUGCGUAGAUAUGUGGAGGAAUACCGAUGGCGAAGGCAGCCCCCUGGGUCGAUACUGACGCUCAUGCACGAAAGCGUGGGUAGCAAACAGGAUUAGAUACCCUGGUAGUCCACGCCCUAAACGAUGUCAACUAGUUGUUGGGGAGGGAGACCUCCUUAGUAACGCAGCUAACGCGUGAAGUUGACCGCCUGGGGAGUACGGUCGCAAGAUUAAAACUCAAAGGAAUUGACGG
rnacentral:rRNA from 1 species